rnacentral:rRNA from 1 species
CCUACGGGAGGCUGCAGUGGGGGAUAUUGCACAAUGGGGGGAACCCUGAUGCAGCGACGCCGCGUGGGUGAAGAAGCGCCUCGGCGCGUAAAGCCCUGUCAGCAGGGAAGAAAAUGACGGUACCUGAAGAAGAAGCCCCGGCUAACUACGUGCCAGCAGCCGCGGGAAUACGUAGGGUGCAAGCGUUAGCCGGAUUUACUGGGUGUAAAGGGGGCGCAGACGGCGCUGCAAGCCAGGAGUGAAAGCCCGGGGCCCAACCCCGGGACUGCUCUUGGAACUGCGUGGCUGGAGUGCAGGAGGGGCAGGCGGAAUUCCUGGUGUAGCGGUGAAAUGCGUAGAUAUCAGGAGGAACACCGGUGGCGAAGGCGGCCUGCUGGACUGCAACUGACGUUGAGGCCCGAAAGCGUGGGGAGCAAACAGGAUUAGAUACCCGAGUAGUC